ACGUUCAGUGUGCUCAAAACUAAAGCUUUCCAUGUUGUCAUCCUGAACGGGUUCUGCCAUCGCCAGUGAACUGUCAGUGAGUUGGAGAACUAGGCUAUCGGAAGUCACUUGGAAUUUGACAGUGACAAAGUACGUGCAAGAACCAAUCGCGCCCCCUGCUGGUGAAAUGGGUGUAAAAAUGCUGCAGUGCUUCCCCUUCUACAGACGCUGCAAGGAGAGGUGCAAAAGACAGUGCCCUCCUGAGACGGUAGUAGCAAGUGACGAGCUGAAGCCCCGGCUGUCCUCCACCACCUCUUGGGGCAGUGAAGGCGACAGCGCCAGCAGUCCCACAAGUUGCCCACAGGCCUAUUUUUCCCACAAGGCUCGGCUCUCGCUUCGGCACCAGAUGGACAGCAACAUCAAUGCAGUGGACGCCACAUACUAACUUUCUUCUGCGAGUGAUCCCUGGAGAAUCCUUGAAAGGAAACCAGAUUUUCCGUCCCAAUCCAGAGCGUUUGAGAGGAACUGGGGGACGAGUCAUUAGUAGAAACAAGCAGUUUGGACACUCAUGAGCGUCAGCUGUAUGCAUUGUAACAAUGUGAUGAUAAGUGUUUGAUGUCCUCUAACAGUAACGGUACAGCUGAGUGUGAUUGGUUAAGGAGGAAAUUGUGAAACACAUUUUUAGGGGCAAUGUUUACAUGAUCACAAAGUGCUUUUUUUUCUUCUUAGUCUGUAGCACCAUCUCUGCUAUAAAUGCGUCUUCACGAUCUGAACUGGAUGGUUUAAUCAGAGGAGACUGAUAUCUAAAGUCAAUUGAGGGGUGUGAGCCAGAAUUUGUCUACCGAUUAUUUUGCCUGUCAAAUUUAAUCACGCUUUGCCUCGUUGAUUAUAAAGUCAGUGUACUGUUAAAGCAACUGAAUGUUUUUCUCUUUCACAUAAAUGGAAAGGUCUCUAAAGUUUAUUUUGCUUUCUAUGCAAGUUCCAUUUUCUAGCCCGUAUACACGAUCUGUUCAUUUUUUCUGAAACAGACCCAUCAUAAACACUUUUUGUUUGAAAAGUGUUUGUUUCACGAACUCUAUGUAACGUAAAACUAAUGUAGAAUUAUAAGGUUUUUCUUUGCAUGUUUAAAACCAGUCAAGUGAAUUGGUAAAGACGUGUUUGAAUAACAGGUUUUAGAUUAUGCCUAUGGCCGUCUUCACUUGAUCAUGCACGUAUUAAUAUUUGUGAUUUUUUAGAUGUUAAAUAUGUAGGCUAUUUACACCCUAACCCCAAAAAAAUGACCAGAAGACGAUACACAUUUGAAGUCGCAAAUAAUCUGAAAGAUAUUUUUGUAUGUUUUGUAUGAAACAAUGUGUAAAUCAUUUUUUUUUAAAAAUAACAAUCGUAAUAAGUAAAAAAAAAACACCGCAACUACUAAAUUAUGAAAACAUCACAUGUACUUUUGCUUUCAUUGAUGAUUGUAAAACAAUAAAACUGUCAAAAA